rnacentral:rRNA from 1 species
GCUUACGGCCAUACCACCUUAGGCACGCCCGAUUUCGUCUGAUCUCGGAAGCUAAGCAGGGUCAGGCCUGGUUAGUACUUGGAUGGGUGACCGCCUGGGAAUACCAGGUGCUGUAAGCA